GCCAGCAUAGUGUGGUGGUUUGGACAUUGGACUAUCUCUGGAGACCAGGGUUCGAAUCCCUGCUUGGCC